rnacentral:rRNA from 2 species
GCCUACGGGAGGCAGCAGUGGGGAAUAUUGGACAAUGGGCGAAAGCCUGAUCCAGCAAUGCCGCGUGAGUGAUGAAGGCCCUAGGGUUGUAAAGCUCUUUACCCGGGAUGAUAAUGACAGUACCGGAGAAAAGU